CAGCUCCUGUUUCUCUGCUUUUUUCCAGCUUUUUUUUUUAUACAUCACUAAUACUUAUAUAUAAAAAACAAGCUGGAAAAAAGCAGAGAAAGAGGAGUCG